rnacentral:lncRNA from 1 species
GAUCACUCAAGGAAGACGCAAGCAUGUAUGCCAAUUGUCAUGUAAAUAUAAUCUAUAUAUAUAUAUAUAUAUAUAUGAAAUGGAUAUGGAUAUGGAUAUGGUUGAUCAUGAAGACCAAUUCAAUUCAUUAUUGAAACAUGUAGGUUGAAGCAAGCUCACCCCAGCCCAGCCUAUCCCAUACAGCAUGACAUCCUACUAAGCCCCCAAAGCAUCUACUAUAACAGAUCAAAGCUUUUGAAAAACCACUCGAAAAGAAGAAAAUACAGUAGGGUCGAUAAAGAGAAGAAGAAAAAAGGGUCUGCUGCCGGUGAAGAAGUCACUGGAAACAACCAUAUUGGAGGCUUAGGAUCGAUAUAUAUCUUCUACCCCUCGCGCAAGCCCCUAAAAUAAGCAGAAGGAUUUGCUUCAAAAUUACUCCUUGGCAUGCGAUAGUUCCUCCCUGGUGCUUUCAUUGUUUUAACACUCUUGGAAGCACCUCCACAGCAACCACGAAACAGGAGUACUAUCACUACCACUGCAACCAUUAUAGGAACGUUUUCUGUCAUAAAAGUGAGUAGUUCCAUUGCUUAGGGGGUUAGACUGCGAUUUGUAUAGAAAUGAAUGGGGAGGAGAGUUUCUGGGUAAGGAAGAGAAUCAAGAGGGAGCGAGAAACGAAGAGUGUAAUGAGAUAUGAGCAGGGAACACACAAUUAAUGGUGCCUUUUAUCAAGUAAAAAUGAAAGAAAAAAGAAGUGGUUUUUACGUAGUUAUAACUUGACUUGAGGAUUGACUUGAUAAAGGCUUGGAUUAUUACAAAAAUGUUUCGUUUUUGUAAAGAAAAAUAUUGAUUUAUUUCAGUUUGGAUCGGGUUUCAAUGCGUUUAAAUCAUUAUUAUUAUUAUUAUUAUUAUUAUUAUUAUUAUUAUUAUUAUCUGAGAUUCCGAGUAAAGAACAUUUGAGAAAGCAAAAUCAUUUCAAUGACUUUAAAUCAAUAUCGUUUCACAAAAGAAACCCACCGACUAUCUUCAUAAAUACUAUUUUGAAGAUCAACCAUAUCUUCAAGAUCAACCAUAUCUUCAAGGUACCCACCCACUUCCAACUCUUUC